rnacentral:rRNA from 1 species
UACAGGGGUCUCAAGCGUUGUUCGGAUUCAUUGGGCGUAAAGGGUGCGUAGGCGGCGCGGUAAGUCGGGUGUGAAAUCUCGGAGCUUAACUCCGAAACUGCAUUCGAUACUGCCGUGCUUGAGGACUGGAGAGGAGACUGGAAUUUACGGUGUAGCGGUGAAAUGCGUAGAUAUCGUAAGGAGGACCAGUGGCGAAGGCGGGUCUCUGGACAGUUCCUGACGCUGAGGCACGAAGGUCAGGGGAGCAAACGGG